GAUUGGUUACUGCUCUAAAAAAGAAAAAGUUAAAUGAUCUUUUGGGCAGGUGUGAAUACAGCAUUUGCAUUUGGGUACGGACCUAACAACCGCACCGAGACCCAGCUGAAGAGGGGGUCUCGGUCCGGUUCCAAACGGACUCUGAUUACAUACCUGGUCGUGAUGAUGUGGUGGAGACGAUAACACAUAUGGUCGUGACGACGGUGGAAAGAGGAACAGUUCUGAGCAUUUUAAUCACGUUGU